ensembl:lncRNA
GUUGCAUACUGGUAGUACAAAAAUAAAAAAUACUUCCUAUACCUUAAAAUUAUUUCAUAGUUUAGUGGUGCAAGAGAUAUGUUCAAAAAUAAUUACAGCACAAUAAGUUCUAAUGCAAGAUAUGUGCCAAGUAUGUUCAAGUCCAGUGCUAAAGGACUAUUUACACCUCCUCUGUCUUCAUUAUUAGCUGAUGAAUCUUGCUUCCUGUUUUACUGAGAAAAUAGAACUAAAUAGAAGGGAGUUUCUACCACAUCUAAUUAAUAUACCUGCAUCUGUACCCAGGUACUCCGCUUCUCCUCUUGAUAACUGUAGGUAAAUUAUUUUGUUGUCCUUACCUAGAGCUAGUCAACUCAUUUAUGUACUACUAGAUUUCAUCCUUUUUCACCUACUCAAAUGCCUCUACCCUCUGAAUUAUUAGAUUUUUUUCCUCUCUAUAAGAUUAUUUCAAUUAGCAUACAAAACCUUUUAUAAUAUAUCAACAACAAGCCCUGGCAUCAUACUGCCACCCCUAGCCAUUUCUCUUCUCCAGUUGAGCAAAAUUCAUUAAAAAAAAAUCUGUUUCCUUUCCUUCCAUCUUCUUCCUGUUCUCAGUAGUUAGACUUCAUCCUCACUAUUCUACUAGUUUUAGUUUUGUUUAUGGUAAGGUCCUCAGUUCCUUCCACAUUACCAAAUCAAAUAAUUUAUUCUCAGUGCUCAUCUUACUCUAUCAGCUUCAUUGGCGUACUUGAUCACUUCCCCUUUUUGAAACACUAUUUUUACUUUGCUUCUAGAACACUGUCUCUUAUUUAUCCUCUUUCCUUACUGGCUGCAUCCUCUCAAUCUCCUUUGCUGGUUUCUCCUCUUGUCAACUUCUAAGUGUGAAAUGCCUAUUCUCAAACCAUAACUACUGUAUUCACUCUCUCCCAAGGUAAUUUUCUCAAUAAAAUGGUCUUAAAUACUAUUUUUAAGUUGGUUCAUUUACUCGGCAAAUAUUUGAGUGUCUUCUAUAUGCCAGUCACUGGUCUGUGUGCAGGGGUUACAUUAGUGAAGAAAACAAAAAUCCCUGUAUUUGAGGAGUUUACAUUGUAUCAGAGAAGACAGAUAGUACACAUUAGACAAUAAAUAAAUUGUCUAGGAAAUGUCAGAGGUGAUAAGUACUAUGGAAAAAGGAAAAUAGAACAGAACAAGGAGGUUGUUUUCCAAAUUUUUAUUCACUUUGGACAUCUUCACUGAAUUCCAGAAUCACAUAUCCAAAUACCAACUUGACAUCUGUUCUGUAACUGUAUCGGUAGUAAGCAUAUAUAAACUGAACUCCUGAUUUUCCUCCUGUUCUAGUUAUUUAUAAUAACCAUUUCAUUAUAUCUCAUGGUUUUAUAGGUGAGACGUUUGGUCAGGGCUCAGCUGGAUGAUUUGCCUCUGCUUCAAGAUGUCCGGGGCCUCAGCUGGGAUGGCUCAAAUGUCUGGAGAUGACUGGGGUCAUAUGUCUGGAUACUCUGUUUUUCAUACAGUGUAUGUUGAAGCUGGAAUCGUGGAAAUGGUUCCUUUACUCACAUGUGUGGUGCCUAUAGUGGAAUGAAUGGAACAGCUGGGGACGGGCUUAUAAUACUCUUUUCUCCUAUGGCAAUUUCAGGGUAGUUGGACCUGCUAUAUGGCUUCUGGAUUCCUCCAGAGCAAGCAUUCCAAAAGACAGUUCCAAGAGAUAAGAGGUGGAAGGUGCUAAUCUUCUAGAGUCUGGUACAGUUUAACUUUUGCUGUGUUCUUUUUAUGAUAAAGUUGUCACAGAGCCCACCUACAUUCAAGAAGAGGGGUCAUAACCCUAUCUCUCAGUGGGAGUAGUGUCAAAUAAUUUGUGGUCAUCUUUAAUCUACCACAGUCCACCCUCUGGCCACAAACUUAUACUCCUCCUAUGUGAAAAGCAUAUUCAAAUCCACCCAGGAAAGUCCCAUUCCAGUAGGGCAUUAGGCUUAGGCUCAAAAUUCAGGAUCCCAUCUAAAUCAGGCCCAGACGGAGAUGAGGUUACUCAGGUGCUUCAAUCUGAAGACCUGUGUACUUAGACAAAUUAUCUGUACCUCUUACACACACACACACACACACACACACACAUACACAUACACACUCUCAAACAUACAGUAGUAAGAGAAGUAUAUAGUUACUGUAGUAGAAACAUUCAUUGAAAAAGAUGGAAAACGAUGCACAUUUUAGUCACUGUUCACUAGUAAUUCUAAAAUUAAGUCAAGCAUAUGUUGCCAGUUGCUUGAUUAGGGCCCCAGUCCUGCUUCUUGAGAAUGACUCCAUUGGGCUCUUUGCUCUGCCCUUUGCACUCUUGGUUCAACCCUCAGUCAGCCUUUGUUUUUCAUAAGAAAUAACUCAAGACUUACACUUCCAGCUAAGACAAAGUAACCACAUUAUCUUCCUGUCCAAAACAACUGAAAAAUAGACAGCAUAUAUGAAAGGAUGUUUUUUAAGACAUGGGAUAUCAGGCAAGAAGGUAUAAUGAUAAUGAGCCCUAAGAGAUGGGGGGAAAGUGAGAUAAACCCUGUAUUACCCUAUCUUAUUGCUGUGAGAGUUUCCACCUUGUGGUACAAGUUGGGAGAAUCCAGGCAGAGCCAGUUGAACUAACUGAGUUGAGGAAGUAGAGCUAUGAGUCUGGGGAGACUAAGACAACAGGACUGGUUACUAGAGAAGAGAUUGCUACACAGAGAAUUCUAGAGAUCUUCAGAGGGUCCCCUUCUAGUAUCUGUACAGUGACUAAUUGUAUGCAUGUGAGGAAACUACCCAAGGCCAGGAAAAGAUUGAUCUACCCGAGAUGAUUAGAGGGAACCUUUCUUGAUAGCUAGAAUGGAAAAUUUCAAGAUUGACUAGGAAUUGGGUAGAGUAAUUGCAAUGGUAAUUGCAGUGUAGAAUAAUUAUUCCAACACUUAGCACUGAUCUAGUCUUGAGAGACAUCUUAAAAGCAAGAGGCAAAAGGCUCAAACUGUUUCCAAGUAACUGCAUCUCGGAACAGAGCUUAAAAGUAUGUAUAGGAAUAAAAAUAUAUCCAGUAGUCACAAUAAAAAAUUCAAAGUGUCUGGCAUCCAGUCAAAAAUUACAAGGCAUGCAAAGAAAGCAGCUACAUGAAUAAAUAUAUAAGAUUUUUUUCUUAUUCUCUAGAUUUCUUUAAAAGAUAUUUUACUUCUAUAAACAAAACCCAUAUGAGGUUUAUGACAUAUGUAAAAGCAAAAUAAAUGACAAUAAUAGCACAAGGGUGGGAAGGGGAGAAGUGAAAGUACAGGAUAUUGUACUAUAUUUGAAGCAGUAUAACAUAACUUGAAUGUAGGCCGUGAUAAAGAUAUGUAAUUAACUCUAAAGCAGAUCCUAAGAUAAAAAAACGAGCAAAUAGGGCUUCCCUGGUGUCGCAGUGGUUGAGAGUCCGCCUGCCGAUGCAGGGGACACGGGUUCAUGCCCUGGUCUGGAAAGGUCCCACGUGCCACGGAGCGGCUGAGCCCGUGAGCCAUGGCUGCAGAGUCUGCACGUCCGGAGCCUGUGCUCCACAAUGGGAGAGGCCGCAACAGUGAGAGGCCCGCAUACCAC